AUUUAGAAAUUUAUUUAUUUUAAUUUUGUUUUACUUUUAUUUAAAUAAUUAUUUUUUUUAUUAAUUUUUAAUGAAAAAAUUUUUUUUAUUAUAGUGCAUUGUAUUGUAAGAGAUGAUUUUUAAAUUUAUAAAAAGAAGAUUUUGUUUUUUGUACCUUUUGUAUCAGGGUUUACUAAAUUAUUUUUAAUUAUUUAUUUAUCCCGAAUUUAAAAGAGCUAAGUAAUUAUUAAUUUUAUUGUGGAAUAAAUAUUUAUAAUUUUUACUUUGUAGCGAAACGUUAGUCGUUUUUAAAUAUAUCUGGUUUUUUAAGAAAUACAUUUAAUGUAGCAAUCAUUCAGUAUUAAUAUUAUUUAUAAUUUUAUGUUGAUGAUUUUUUAUAUCCAAGGGGACAAGCUUUUGGUUAUAUAAUUAUAAGAUUUUAUUUAUUGAAUAAUACAUAGGAUUAGAAUUUUCCACUGUUAAAAGGAUGUUUUAAUUUAUUAUUUUAAAUUUUUUAUUUUUUUUACUUUAGAUUUUUUAUUAAAAUAUUGGUUAUAAUUUUUUAGACCAAGAAAUAAUGGUAAAAUUAGUAUAAUUUAUUGUAUUAUUACAUAUUAUUUUAAGGUUUUGUUAAGGAAUUCGGCAAAUUAUUUUUCACCUGUUUAAUAAAAACAUGGCCUUUAGUUUAUGAUUUAAGGUCUGACCUGCCCAAUGAUUGUUUUGAAUGGCCGCAGUAUUUUGACUGUGCAAAGGUAGCAUAAUCAUUAGUUUUUUAAUUGAAAGCUGGAAUGAAUGGUUUGAUGAAAAAAUAACUGUCUCAAUAGAACUGUUUUAGAAUUUUAUUUUUGAGUGAAAAAGCUUAAAUUUAUUAGAAAGACGAGAAGACCCUAUAGAGUUUAAUAUUAACUUAGUCAAUAAUUUUUAGGUUUUAUAUAAAUUAUUGUUGAGAUUAUUAUUUUGUUGGGGUGACAUAAAAAUUUAAGUAACUUUUUAUUUUUUAUAACAUUUAUAUAUGAUUAUUUGAUCCUAAUUUUUGGAUAAAAAGAUUAAAUUACCUUAGGGAUAACAGCGUAAUUUCUUUGGAGAGUUCUUAUCGAUAAGGAAGUUUGCGACCUCGAUGUUGGAUUAAAAUUUAUUUUUGGUGUAGAAGCUAAAAUAUUAGGUCUGUUCGACCUUUAAAAUUUUACAUGAUCUGAGUUUAGACCGGCGUGAGCCAGGUUGGUUUCUAUCUCUUAAUUAUUAAAUUGUUUUAGUACGAAAGGACCAGAUAAUUAAAUAAUAUUUUAAUGUUUUGGAUUAAGU
rnacentral:rRNA from 1 species